rnacentral:lncRNA from 1 species
UUUUUUUAAAGAAAACUUCAUAUUUGUGAGUUGUGAGUUGCUAGACUGAUUAUGGCUUCCGAUUUCUGCAACAUUGGGAUCUUAAUGGGUUAUCCUUGGAAGGAGUAUUGGUACCUGAGAUAGGGAACCUCACACAUUUGAGACGCCUAUGAGUGCUACACAGACUUCAAUUUUUUCUGAGUUUGGGUGCUUUUACUGUAGUUUUACCCAUAGGCCAUGAAGAUAUAUUCCUUCCUUUCCUACUUGGUGGUUGCUACAACAUGAAAGAUGGCUUGUGAAAUGGUCCUGAUGAGUUUUGUGGCAAUUGAAACCUUUGCUUUGGAUCUGGGAGGAGUUUACCAAUCUGGUAGUUGGUUUUCUUGACUAACUAUAAUGACACCCCUGAUAUGCUAAUCUUCUCUUGAUUAAUUUAUACAACUAGUAAUAACCCCGCGCGCGUUGCGGCGCGAGAACAUCGCAAACAUCGAAUGUAUUAGUCCAAACGUCCUGUGAUGCGUUAACCGUAUGGA